UACGGAGAGUGCAAGCGUUAAUCGGAAUUACUGGGCGUAAAGCGCACGCAGGCGGUCAAUUAAGUUGGAUGUGAAAUCCCCGGGCUUAACCUGGGAACUGCAUUCAAGACUGGUUGGCUAGAGUCGAGUAGAGGGGGGGGUAGAAUUCCAUGUGUAGCGGUGAAAUGCGUAGAGAUGUGGAGGAAUACCGGUGGCGAAGGCGGCCCCCUGGACGAAGACUGACGCUCAGGUGCGAAAGCGUGGGGAGCAAACAGG
rnacentral:rRNA from 1 species